rnacentral:rRNA from 1 species
GACGAACCGUGCGAACGUUAUUCGGAAUCACUGGGCUUAAAGCGCGUGUAGGCGGGACGGCACGUCGGUCGCUGAAAUCCCCCGGCUCAACCGGGGAACGGGCGCCGAUACGACCGCCCUGGAGGGGCGUAGGGGGAUCGGGAACUUCCGGUGGAGCGGUGAAAUGCGUUGAGAUCGGAAGGAACGCCCGUGGCGAAAGCGCGGCCCUGGACGCUUACUGACGCUGAGACGCGAAAGCCAGGGGAGCGAACGGG